UUCUUAGUGGCGGACGGGUUAGUAACACGUGAGAAUCCUACCCUUGAGUGGGGAAUAGCCUUUCGAAAGGAAGAUUAAUGCCCCAUAGUCUCUACGGAGUAAAGAUGCCUUCGGGUGUCGCUUAAGGAUGGGCUCGCGGCCUAUCAGCUAGUUGGUGAGGUAAGAGCUCACCAAGGCAACGACGGGUAGCUGGUCUGAGAGGACGAUCAGCAACACUGGAACUGAGACACGGUCCAGACACCUACGGGUGGCAGCAGUCGAGAAUCAUUCACAAUGGACGAAAGUCUGAUGGUGCAACGCCGCGUGGAGGAUGACGGCCCUAGGGUUGUAAACUCCUGUCAUCAGGGAGUAAGACUUAUUCGUUAAUAGCGUGUAAGUUUGAUAGUACCUGAAGAGGAAGGGACGGCUAACUUCGUGCCAGCAGCCGCGGUAAUACGAAGGUCCCAAGCGUUGUUCGGAAUAACUGGGCGUAAAGCGUGUGUAGGCCGCGCGGAAAGUCGGAUGUGAAAGCCCAAGGCUCAACCUUGGAACUGCAUCCGAUACUCCCGUGCU
rnacentral:rRNA from 1 species